rnacentral:rRNA from 1 species
GACGAACGCUGGCGGCGUGCUUAACACAUGCAAGUCGAACGGAAAGGCCCUGCUUUUGUGGGGUGCUCGAGUGGCGAACGGGUGAGUAACACGUGAGUAACCUGCCCUUGACUUUGGGAUAACUUCAGGAAACUGGGGCUAAUACCGGAUAGGAGCUCCUGCUGCAUGGUGGGGGUUGGAAAGUUUCGGCGGUUGGGGAUGGACUCGCGGCUUAUCAGCUUGUUGGUGGGGUAGUGGCUUACCAAGGCUUUGACGGGUAGCCGGCCUGAGAGGGUGACCGGCCACAGGGGUGAGGAGAGGCGGCGCAGAGGCAGACGGGAGGAAGACGGGGGGGAUAGUGAAAGGGGGGCGGAAGCAGGCUGCAGCAGCGCGGGGUGGGGGAUGGGGGGCGGCGGGUUGUAACGCGAGGUCGGGUGGGAAGAAGCGGGAGGGAGGGUAAAGGAUAGAGAAGAACCGGAAAAAUACGUACCAGCAGCCGCGGGAAGAAAAGAAGAGAACACGUCUGAAC